AUUGAACGCUGGCGGCAGGCCUAACACAUGCAAGUCGAACGAGUGGCGGACGGGUGAGUAAUAUAUGGGAAACUCCCCGAUGGAGGGGGAUACCUACUGGAAACGGUCGCUAAUACCGCAUACCAUCGGAUGUGCCCAGAUGGGAUUAGCUAGUAGGUGGGGUAAUGGCUCACCUAGGCGACGAUCCCUAGCUGGUCUGAGAGGAUGACCAGCAACACCGGAACGGGGACACGGACCAGACGCCUACGGGAGGCAGCAGUGGGGAAUAUUGCACAAUGAGCGCAAGCCUGAUGCAGCAAAGCCGCGUGUAUGAAGAAGGCCAUCGGGGUGUAAAGUAGUUUCGGCGGGGAGACGUUACGCGAAGAAGAAGCACCGGCUAACUCCGUGCCAGCAGCCGCGGUAAUAC
rnacentral:rRNA from 1 species